CCUACGGGUGACAGCAGUGAGGAAUAUUGGUCAAUGGACGAGAGUCUGAACCAGCCAAGUAGCGUGAAGGAUGACUGCCCUAUGGGUUGUAAACUUCUUUUAUAUGGGAAUAAAAUGUUCCACGUGUGGGAUUUUGUAUGUACCAUAUGAAUAAGGAUCGGCUAACUCUGUGCCAGCAGCCGCGGUAAUACGGAGGAUCCGAGUGUUAUCCGGAUUUAUUGGGUUUAAAGGGAGCGUAGGUGGAUUGUUAAGUCAGUUGUGAAAGUUUGCGGCUCAACCGUAAAAUUGCAGUUGAAACUGGCAGUCUUGAGUACAGUAGAGGUGGGCGGAAUUCGUGGUGUAGCGGUGAAAUGCUUAGAUAUCACGAAGAACUCCGAUUGCGAAGGCAGUUCACUGGACUGCAACUGACACUGAGGCUCGAAAGUGUGGGUAUCAAACAGGAUUAGAUACCCCAGUAGUC
rnacentral:rRNA from 1 species